AGAGUUUGAUCCUGGCUCAGAAUGAACGCUGGCGGCGUGCCUAAUACAUGCAAGUCGAACGAGAUGUUUACAUCGAGGGGCGAACGGGUGAAUAAUACAUAAGUAACCUACCCUAAACUGGGGGAUAACUAUUGGAAACGAUAGCUAACACCGCAUAGGUAUACAGUACCCAUGUACCGUAUAUUAAAAAUGCUUUCGGGCAUUGGUAAAGGAUGGACUUAUGGCGCAUUAGCUAGUUGGGAGGGUAACGGCCUACCAAGGCGACGAUGCGUAUCCGACCUGAGAGGGUGACCGGCCACACUGGGACUGAAACACGGCCCAGACUCCUACGGGAGGCAGCAGUAGGGAAUUUUCGGCAAUGGGGGAAACCCUGACCGAGCAACGCCGCGUGAAGGAAGAAGGUCUUCGGAUUGUAAACUUCUGUUAUAAAGGAAGAAUGAGAUAUGCAGGAAAUGGUAUAUCAGUGACGGUACUUUAUGAGGAAGCCACGGCUAACUACGUGCCAGCAGCCGCGGUAAUACGUAGGUGGCAAGCGUUAUCCGGAAUUAUUGGGCGUAAAGAGGGAGCAGGCGGCUAUAAAGGUCUGUGGUGAAAGACUGAAGCUCAACUUCAGUAAGCCAUGGAAACCAAAUAGCUAGAGUGCAUUAGAGGAUCGUGGAAUUCCAUGUGUAGCGGUGAAAUGCGUAGAUAUAUGGAGGAACACCAGUGGCGAAGGCGACGAUCUGGGAUGUAACAGACGCUGAGUCCCGAAAGCGUGGGGAGCAAAUAGGAUUAGAUACCGUAGUAGUCCACGCCGUAAACGAUGAGUAGUAAGUGUUGGGAGUCAAAUCUCAGUGCUGCAGUUAACGCAAUAAGUACUCCGCCUGAGUAGUACGUUCGCAAGAAUGAAACUCAAAGGAAUUGACGGGGGCCCGCACAAGCGGUGGAGCAUGUGGUUUAAUUCGAAGCAACGCGAAGAACCUUACCAGGUCUUGACAUACGGAUAAAGGCUGCAGAGAUGCGGAGAUAGUUAUAUCCGAUACAGCUGGUGCAUGGUGGUCGUCAUCUCGUGUCGUGAGAUGAUGGGUUAAGUCCCGCAACGAGCGCAACCCUUAUCGUUAGUUACCAUCAUUAAGUUGGGGACUCUAUCGAGAGUGCCAGUGACAAAUUGGAGGAAGGCGGGGAGGACGUCAAAUCAUCAUUCCCGUUAUGACCUGGCAUACACACGUGCUACAAUCACGGAGCAGAGGGAAGGGAACCUGUGAAGGCAAGCAAAACCCAGAAAACCGUUCUCAGUUAGGAUGGUAGUGUGCAACUAGAUUACAUGAAGUUGGAAUCGAUAGUAAUCGCGAAUCAGAAUGUCGCGGUGAAUACGUUAUCGGGCCUUGUACACACCGCCCGUCACACCAUGAGAGUUGAUAACACCCGAAGCCGGUGGCUUAACCUGUUUUCAGGAAGGAGCUGUCUAAGGUGGGAUUGAUGAUUAGGGUGAAGUCGUAACAAGGUAACC
rnacentral:rRNA from 1 species